rnacentral:rRNA from 1 species
GACGUAGGGCGCGAGCGUUGUCCGGAUUUAUUGGGCGUAAAGAGCUCGUAGGCGGCUUGUCGCGUCGACUGUGAAAACCCGCGGCUCAACCGUGUGGCUUGCAGUUGAUACGGGCAGGCUAGAGUUCGGUAGGGGAGACUGGAAUUCCUGGUGUAGCGGUGAAAUGCGCAGAUAUCAGGAGGAACACCGAUGGCGAAGGCAGGUCUCUGGGCAUUAACUGACGCUGAGGAGCGAAAGCAUGGGGAGCGAACAGG